GGAGGUCCGAACCCACGAGCGUUGAAAAGCUCGGGGAUGACUUGUGGGUAGCGGUGAAAUUCCAAUCGAGCCCGGAGAUAGCUGGUUCUCCCCGAAAUAGCUUUAGGGCUAGCCUCAAGGUGAGAGAUACGGAGGUAGAGCACUGAAUGUCCUAGGGGGUAUUGCACCUACCGAAGACUAUCAAACUCCGAAUGCCGUCAUCUUAUACUUGGGAGUCAGACUGUGGGUGAUAAGAUUCAUAGUCGAAAGGGCAACAGCCCAGAUCGUCAGCUAAGGUCCCUAAAUGUAAGUUAAGUGGUAAAGGAUGUGGGAUUGCACAGACAACCAGGAUGUUGGCUUAGAAGCAGCCACUCAUUCAAAGAGUGCGUAAUAGCUCACGGGUCGAGUGAUCCUGCGCCGAAGAUUUCCGGGGCUAAAACUUACUACCGAAGCUACGGCAUCAGUAAUGAUGGGUAGGGGAGCUUCCCAUACGGGUUGAAGCAUGACCGUAAGGACAUGUGGACAGUAUGGGAGUGAGAAUGUUGGCAUGAGUAGCGAGAUGUGGGUGAGAAUCCCACAGGCCGUAAACCCAAGGUUUCCAGGGGAAGGUUCGUCCGCCCUGGGUUAGUCGGGACCUAAGCUGAGGCCGAAAGGCGUAGGUGAUGGACAACAGGUUGAUAUUCCUGUACUACCGAUAACCGUUUGAGAGA
rnacentral:rRNA from 1 species